rnacentral:rRNA from 1 species
UGGGGAAUAUUGCACAAUGGGCGAAAGCCUGAUGCAGCAACGCCGCGUGAGUGAUGAAGGCCUUCGGGUUGUAAGGCUCUGUCUUUUGGGACGAUAAUGACGGUACCAAAGGAGGAAGCCACGGCUAACUACGUGCCAGCAGCCGCGGUAAUACGUAGGUGGCAAGCGUUGUCCGGAUUUACUGGGCGUAAAGGAUGCGUAGGCGGAUUUUUAAGUGAGAUGUGAAAUACCCGGGCUUAACUUGGGUGCUGCAUUUCAAACUGGGAAUCUAGAGUGCGGGAGAGGAGAAUGGAAUUCCUAGUGUAGCGGUGAAAUGCGUAGAGAUUAGGAAGAACACCAGUGGCGAAGGCGAUUCUCUGGACCGUAACUGACGCUGAGGCAUGAAAGCGUGGGUAGCAAACAGGAUUAGAUACCCUGGUAGUCCACGCCGUAAACGAUGAGUACUAGGUGUAGGAGGUAUCGACCCCUUCUGUGCCGCAGUUAACACAAUAAGUACUCCGCCUGGGAAGUACGAUCGCAAGAUUAAAAACUUAAAUGAAUUGACGGGGUCAUAG